ACGGCUCAGUAACACGUAGUCAACCUGCCCUAGAGACAUGGAUAACCCCGGGAAACUGGGAUUAAUCCGUGAUAGGUCAUCUCAUCUGGAAGGAGAGAUGGCUUAAAGGGAUGCGAGAGCUUCUUUCUUGUAUUUGCUCUAGGAUGGGACUGCGGCCGAUCAGGCUGUUGGUGGGGUAAUGGCCCACCAAACCUGUAACCGGUACGGGCCUUGAGAGAGGGGGCCCGGAGAUGGACACUGAGAGAAGGGUCCAGGUCCUACGGGGCGCAGCAGGCGCGAAACCUUCGCAAUGCGCGAAAGCGUGACGAGGUUAAUCCGAGUGGUCCCCGCUGAGGGGAUCUUUUGUCGGCUGUAAAAAGGCCGGUGAAUAAGGGGAGGGCAAGUCUGGUGUCAGCCGCCGCGGUAAUACCAGCUCCUCGAGUGGUCGGGGCGAUUAUUGGGCCUAAAGCAUCCGUAGCCUGUUCUGUAGGUCCUCUGUUAAAUCCAACGGCUUAACCGUUGGUCUGCAGAGGAUACCGCAGGACUAGGAGGCGGGAGAGGUGGACGGUACUCCACGUGUAGGGGUAAAAUCCUUUGAUCCGUGGAAGACCACCAGUGGCGAAGGCGGUCCACCAGAACGCGCUCGACGGUGAGGGAUGAAAGCUGGGGGAGCGAACCGGAUUAGAUACCCGGGUAGUCCCAGCCGUAAACGAUGCAAGCUAGAUGAUCCGGUCGCAAAUCGCGAUCGGAGUGUCGCAGGGAAGCCGUUAAGCUUGCCGCCUGGGGAGUACGGUCGCAAGACUGAAACUUAAAGGAAUUGGCGGGGGGAGCAC
rnacentral:rRNA from 1 species